rnacentral:rRNA from 1 species
GAUGAACGCUAGCGGCAGGCUUAACACAUGCAAGUCGAGGGGCAGCGCGAUGUAGCAAUACAUUGGCGGCGACCGGCGCACGGGUGCGUAACACGUAUGGAACUUACCCUUUACUGGGAGAUAGCCCGGAGAAAUCCGGAUUAAUAUCCCAUAAUAAACGAAGUGGCAUCACUUUGUUUUGAAAGCUCCGGCGGUAAAGGAUGGCCAUGCGCACGAUUAGCUAGUAGGUGAGGUAACGGCUCACCUAGGCUACGAUCGUUAGGGGGCCUGAGAGGGUUAUCCCCCACACUGGUACUGAGACACGGACCAGACUCCUACGGGAGGCAGCAGUGAGGAAUAUUGCGCAAUGGAGGCAACUCUGACGCAGCCAUGCCGCGUGCAGGAAGAAGGCGCUACGCGUUGUAAACUGCUUUUUAACCGGGAAGAAACCCUCCGACGUGUCGGAGGUUGACGGUACCGGAGGAAUAAGCACCGGCUAACUUCGUG